rnacentral:rRNA from 1 species
GGCAAAGAGGGGCCGGAGGCGGUAGUAGUAGGGUGGGGGGCAGCGUUAAUCGGAAGUGUUGGUCGGAAAGUGUGCGCCGGGGGCAGAGCAAGUAGGGUGUGAAAGCCCCGGGCGUAACGUGGGAAUUGCGCUGGAAACUACGUUGCUGGAGUGUGGCAGAGGAAGGUGGAAUUCCACGUGUAGCGGUGAAAUGCGUAGAGAUGUGGAGGAACACCAAUGGCGAAGGCAGCCUUCUGGGCCAACACUGACGCUCAUGCACGAAAGCGUGGGGAGCAAACAGGAUUAGAUACCCUAGUAGUC